CCUACGGGUGGCAGCAGUGGGGGAUAUUGCACAAUGGGGGAAACCCUGAUGCAGCGACGCCGCGUGAGUGAAGAAGUAUUUCGGUAUGUAAAGCUCUAUCAGCAGGGAAGAACAUGACAGUACCUGACCAAGAAGCCCCGGCUAACUACGUGCCAGCAGCCGCGGGAAUACGUAGGGGGCAAGCGUUAUCCGGAUUUACGGGGUGUAAAGGGAGCGUAGACGGUUAUGUAAGUCUGGAGUGAAAGCUCGGGGCCCAACCCCGGGACUGCUUUGGAAACUGUGUGACUGGAGUACAGGAGGGGCAGGCGGAAUUCGUGGUGUAGCGGUGAAAUGCGUAGAUAUCAGGAGGAACACCGACGGCGAAGGCGGCCUGCUGGACUGAAACUGACGUUGAGGCUCGAAAGCGUGGGGAGCGAACAGGAUUAGAUACCCUGGUAGUC
rnacentral:rRNA from 1 species